GGCGCCGGCAGCCGCCCUCCCACUACGGCCACUGACAACCUGGAGGCCAAAGGAAAACUGAGCCCAAAUGCACGCACCCCCUUCAGCCCUGCCCGCAGCCCUCCAAAGUCCGGCCCUGACCUCGCGCCCGGCUUCAGGCUAACCUGGGCUUGUUCAUAUGGUGGUGGAAGAUUUCCCAGCAGCAAGAGUGUUGGCUCCAGUAUACAGACCUUGUCAAGUCUCUGCCUGCAUCAUUUGCAUCUUUGACCAAACCAGAUUUGCACCUAUGAUCUUGAUGUCUCCACAUGCUGCAAGUCACAUUGGACAGUUUGUAGUUUUGUGACUGAAUCUAACAUUAAGUUUAUUAGGGACUUUGGUCUACAUGUAAAACUCACCUGGAUGUUAAUGGAAGAGCCUCUGGGUAUUGAAACAGAAUAUAUUCAGCAUUUUGUCUGGUCUAGAAGUCAAUCAGAAUGCAAUUGUUCAUUAAGCCUCCUGCAAGCAAUAGUCACUGUGCUGUGCCAACAUUCAUCAAGUUAAGGGCCAGGAAAUGUGAUUGCCAGGGGCAGAUCUCACAGAGACAGCACAAAAGUCAGCUCGUCUCAAUUACAACGCGGCAAUGGCCUUCUUCCUUGAAACUGCAUUGUCAGAAGGGAAUCUGAGAGGCAGUUCAGAACUUUUUCACUGGGCUCACUCUCAACAGGAAUACCUGAUAGGAAACAAACUAGGAGACUUAUUUUCCUGUUCUCAAUUUUCACAAGAAUGUUUGGACUAUAGUGCCUGUGACUGACUCAAGAAAUUGAAGAAGCAAGAAUUAAGAGGAACAGUGAAUAUUUGGUGCUACAUGGAAGGAGAAUAUUGAAGUGGGAACACUUAACAGCUUUUUAGGAAGAAAGUUAAAAUCUUAGCUGUAUCUCUUGCUUUACAUUUCUAGGCAAGUUCUUUAAUUUUUCUAGAUGUAAGUAUCCUUAUGUAUAAUCUGUCUACUCCAUAAGGUUAUUGUAAGAAAUACAUAAAAUAAAGUAACUGAAAACAGUGCACAAUAAAUGAAGCUAUUAUGAUGAAGGCAAAAUAUCACCAAGAUUAUAAUAUUCCCUUUCAUUUGGAAUUGAGAGGUAGAUAGCUAUGUUUUUAACAGUCAGAUAAAGAGUUAAACUUUGGACGCAAAUGACAGUAAUCAAGAAGGUAAAAUAAGACCUAAGAACUCCUUAGAAAAUCUUCAAUUCCCAUAGGUCUCAUUAUCAGGUAAGAAUGCUAUAUGCUUCUCACAAAAGCCUGGAAAAAUGUUUGAAGCUCACUUGUCAGCAUGGAGAGACAUCCAGAAUAAUUACUGAAAACAAACGAUGGUUUUGCAAGUCCAAGAUGUUUCGAGAUGUUUUGACAGUGGAGGAAAUGCCUAGAAGCAGGUUUGACUCUUUGUAAUACUCAUUCAUCUACAUGGUUUUUCUCUCUCUUUCUCCUCCUCCCCCUCCCCGCUCUCUGUGUGUGUACUACUUAAUUUCCCCAGAAUAAAUAUAAAUAUGUUAUAGUUCUUAUAAAUUAAAAUUAUGUAAAUUUGAUCACGUGAAUGCUGUUAUCAACAUAUUAACAUACUUUGUAUCUAUUUUCACUGUGAUUUACCAUGUAUUAGUAAUUGGCAAAAGGCCCUGUAUCAUUCCUGGAACAGUCCCAUUGCAGUGAGAAUUCUAGUUGAGCUCAUGCUGUUUCUACCACCACGUGUAAGGAAAGCCCACAGCAUAAUUCACCAUCAGGGUUUCCUCUUUCACUCAGAAGCCUAUGGCAUGCAAGCCUGUAAUUCUGGUAUGCGUGACUCCAUGGAUGAGGAAUUGGAGUCUUGCUUGAAGGGUUGGGCUCAAAGUUACUGUACG
rnacentral:lncRNA from 1 species